GUCUCUGUGGCGCUGUCGGUUAGCGUGUUUGGCUGUUAACUGAAAGGUCGGUGGCUCAAACCCACCCAGAGACG